rnacentral:rRNA from 1 species
GAUGAACGCUGGCGGCGUGCCUAACACAUGCAAGUCGAGCGAAGCGCUUUGCUUAGAUUCUUCGGAUGAAGAGGAUUGUGACUGAGCGGGCGAGGGUCGAAGGUAACCGCCGUAGGGUUAAACCUGCCUCAUACAGGGGGAUAACAGUUAGAAAUGACUGCUAAUACCGCAUAAGACCACAGCACCGCAUGGUGCAGGGGAAAAACUCCGGUGGUAAGAGAUGGACCCGCGUCUGAUUAGCUAGUUGGUAAAGGUAACGGCUUACCAAGGCGACGAUCAGUAGCCGACCUGAGAGGGUGACCGGCCACAUUGGGACUGAGACACGGCCAAA